AUUUUACUUUUCACGUAUUUUCUGUUUGACGAAGCGGAAGCAGGCUGGAGGAGACGAUGGAGGGUGCGUUGGAGGCGUGUGAGGUGUAAGUGUAGGGGACUUGGAUGUGGAUGCACAUUUAAGAAGAGAAAUCUGGAACAACUUGAGAAAAGAUUUCCACAACCAGAUAACAAUGCCCAGGAUUUGACAGCAGACGCAAUGAGAGAUUGAGUCAAUACGAAAUGCUGGUCGCUAGUACCAAUGUCCACUUUAUUUUCAAAAUAAAUGAAAUUUAAGUUGCAUUUUAAA